CUGGUGUGGCCUGCACUUGAGUGGCAGAAGUCCCCUGCUUGCCUGGGCCCAGUAGCAAGGAUCCAGGGAGUGGAGGCAACUCUGGGCAGGCCAGUACACACCAGUGUGCAGUACUUACUCAGUCACUGAGGAUGUGAGUUCCCAGGAAUACAAAGGCCCACUCAGUGGCAACCUACGAGAGGAGGGAAGGGAUCAGCAGGAGUGGGAUUGGACAUGAGAAGGUCAUCAAAG